GACGAACGCUGGCGGCGUGCUUAACACAUGCAAGUCGAGCGGAAGGGCCCGGCGUUUGCGGCGUGCUCGUGUGGCGCACGUGGGAGUAACACGCGAGUAUCCUGCCCUUGACUUUCUGAUAACUUCAGGAAACUCCGGCUAAUACCGCAUAGGAGCUCCUGCUGCAUGGUGGUGGUUGGAAAAGUUCGGCGUUUGGGGAUCUAUUCGAGGGUUAUCAGCUUGUUGGUGGGGUAGUGGUUGACCAAGGCUUUGACGGGUAGCCGGCCUGAGAGGUUGGACAGGGACAGUGGGACUACGAUACGGCGCAGAAUGGUACGGGAGGCAGUAGUGGGGAGUCUGGCAGAAUGGGGCGGCGUCUGAGGCAGAAGCGUGGGGUGCGGGAUGCUGUGUUUCGGGGUGUAAACCGAUGUAGCCUGUGACGAAGCGUGAGUGACGGUAACGGGUAAAGAAGCACCGGCUAACUACGUG
rnacentral:rRNA from 1 species